CUACCGGGGUAUCUAAUCCUGUUUGCUCCCCACGCUUUCGCGCCUCAGCGUCAGUGUCCGUCCAGAUGGCCGCCUUCGCCACCGGUGUUCUUCCCAAUAUCUACGAAUUUCACCUCUACACUGGGAAUUCCACCAUCCUCUCCGGAACUCAAGCCUGCCAGUAUCGAAAGCAAUUCCCAGGUUGAGCCCGGGGCUUUCACUUCCGACUAAACAGGCCGCCUACGCGCCCUUUACGCCCAGUAAUUCCGAACAACGCUAGCCCCCUUCGUAUUACCGCGGCUGCUGGCAC
rnacentral:rRNA from 1 species